rnacentral:rRNA from 1 species
UCCGGUUGAUCCUGCCGGAGGUUACUGCUAUCGAGGUUCGACUAAGCCAUGCGAGUCGAAUGUAGCAAUACAUGGCGUACUGCUCAGUAACACGUGGACAACCUACCCUUGAGACGGGGAUAAACCCGGGAAACUGGGUAUAAUACCCGAUAGAUCUCGACUGCUGGAAUGCAUCGAGCUCCAAAGCUCCGGCGCUCAAGGAUGGGUCUGCGGCCUAUCAGGUAGUAGUGGGUGUAGCGUACCUACUAGCCUACGACGGGUACGGGUUGUGAGAGCAAGAGCCCGGAGAUGGAUUCUGAGACACGAAUCCAGGCCCUACGGGGUGCAGCAGGCGCGAAAACUUUACAAUGCUGGAAACAGCGAUAAGGGGACCUCGAGUGCCAGGUUACAAAUCUGGCUGUCGUGAUGCCUAAAAAGCAUUGCAUAGCAAGGGCCGGGCAAGACCGGUGCCAGCCGCCGCGGUAACACCGGCGGCUCGAGUGGUAACCGUUGUUAUUGGGUCUAAAGGGUCUGUAGCCGGCCGGAUAAGUCUCUUGGGAAAUCUGGCAGCUUAACUGUCAGGCUUUCAGGAGAUACUGUCUGGCUUGAGGCCGGGAGAGGUGAGAGGUACUUCANGGGUAGGGGUGAAAUCUUGUAAUCCUUGAAGGACCACCAGUGGCGAAAGCGUCUCACCAGAACGGACCUGACGGCAAGGGACGAAAGCUAGGGGCACGAACCGGAUUAGAUACCCGGGUAGUCCUAGCCGUAAACGAUACUCGCUAGGUGUCGGCCACGGUGCGACCGUUGUCGGUGCCGUAGGGAAGCCGUGAAGCGAGCCACCUGGGAAGUACGGCCGCAAGGCUGAAACUUAAANAAUUGGCGGG